CCGCCGCCGCCCCGCCCUGCCUCUGCCUCUUCUUCCUCCUCCUUCUCCGCCCUCCACAGAUCGUUCCUGAGGUUGGUCGCUUCUCUUCUUCCCUCGGAUGCUUCGACCAUGUUCUGGCGAUCGAUUUCUUUCUUUGGUUCCCCGAUUUGUCGGUCGUUUUGAGCGAGCUUCCAAUAUCCUAAUGUUAGCGGGGUUGUCGAGAUCUAUUCGAUUUGGCUUCUCGCUAGAUUAGGGAUUCAAGAAUCCUCUCGUCUGAGUUGACCACCUCUGCUUCAUCGAUUCGUAUCGCUUCUGGAGAAAGAUCAUUUCUUUCUUGUUUCCGAUCCAUCCUUCCAUCCGUCCCUUUGAGCUUACAAAAGCCACGUAGUCGUGUAUCGGUGUUAAGAGCCGGAGACCUGAGAUGUACUAGGUUUCCAAGAACUUCGAAAUCCAUGGCCUUUUAUAGGAAAUCUCGAGCUGUGAAAGAUGCACUUCCGUUGCGGCGAAUGCUUCCCUUCGCCCUCCUAGUCCUUCUCGCGGUGCUGCUUGUGACCUUUUUACUCAGAGUGGGAACAGUUACUUCCUCUUCUUCGUUUGUGAACAUGUAUGGAGGCUCUGCUGUUUGGGAAACCGACCGCUCGCUGGUGAUACAUCUCAAAUCCGAGCUGGAGUUGCCGAAACAGAGCAUCCUGUCCAUGUCCUUGGAUCAGAGGAACAAAUUGCCCCCCAGGAACAUGGAUCGUUUUCCAAACCUGGCCAAGGAUCACACAAAGAUCGUCCUUUACGUGCACAACCGCCCCCAGUACCUCCGGUUGGUAGUAAGCAGCCUCGCGGCUGUGGAGGGGAUCAGCGAGACAAUGCUGAUCGUCAGCCACGAUGGCUACUUCGCCGAGAUGGACAGGAUCGUUCAGGACAUCCGGUUCUGCCAGGCCAAGCAGAUCUUUGCGCCCUACUCUCCGCACUUAUUCCCCGAUGGCUUUCCGGGCGUCUCGCCUGGUGAUUGCCACGAUAAGGAUGACCCCAUCGUGACCAAGUGUAAUGGGACAGCUGACCAAUAUGGUAACCACAGGUCACCAAGGACCGUCUCAUUGAAGCAUCACUGGUGGUGGAUGAUGAAUACUGUGUGGGAUGGUAUGGAGGAAACCAAGGGAUUCUCUGGUCACAUUCUUUUCAUUGAAGAGGACCAUUAUAUCUAUCCGAAUGCUUACCGGAACCUUCAGUUGCUUAUAGGAUUGAAGCCCAUGAAAUGCCCUGAGUGUUAUGCUGCCAACUUGUCACCCAUGGAUGUGAACUCCAUCGGAGAAGGCUGGGAUAUGCUGGUUGCUGAGAAAAUGGGCAAUGUGGGUUAUUCCUUUAAUCGGACUGUUUGGAGGAAGAUCCAUACAAAAGCAAAGGAGUUUUGCUCAUUUGAUGAGUAUAACUGGGACAUAACUAUGUGGGCUACUGUCUAUCCAUCAUUUGGGACCCCGGUUUACACUCUGAGAGGUCCUAGGAGAAGUGCUGCCCAUUUUGGUAAAUGUGGGCUGCAUCAGGGACGAGGGAAGAGUAGUUCAUGCAUCGAUAAUGGGGAAGCAAGAUUUCAACUAGAUGAAAUUGACAAGAUUCUUAACAUAAAACCUGAUUGGAAGGUGCAUGUUGUCAAGAAGCAAAGUGGUUACCAAGCAGGUUUUAAAGGUUGGGGAGGCUGGGGCGAUGAGAGAGACCGAGAGCUUUGUUUGAGUUUUGCAUACAUGUAUCAUGAUGUGCAAAUAUCAUCAGGUUGAGGAAAGGUUGUAUGGCACCAUGCUAUUUUUCAAGCUCUUGAGAGCAUCAUGCUAUCACCAUACUGUACCUGAUCUAUACACUGCCAUUGAGGGUUGCUUCUUGGAUUGUGCGAUUGAGGUACAGUCAUUUCUGCCGGUCAAUUAGCUUCUUGGAUUCUUUUUUAUUUUACCUAAUUGUGCCAAGGCUUGAAAUUUGAUGGAACCUUUUGGUGGUGGAAACUUUUU